UGACUAAGAAGCCCCGGCUAACUACGUGCCAGCAGCCGCGGUAAUACGUAGGGGGCAAGCGUUAUCCGGAUUUACUGGGUGUAAAGGGAGCGUAGACGGCGCGGCAAGUCUGAAGUGAAAGCCCGGGGCUUAACCCCGGGACUGCUUUGGAAACUGCCAUGCUGGAGUGCUGGAGAGGUAAGUGGAAUUCCUAGUGUAGCGGUGAAAUGCGUAGAUAUUAGGAGGAACACCAGUGGCGAAGGCGGCUUACUGGAC
rnacentral:rRNA from 1 species